AAGGGGACGACAGAGGAUGAGA
rnacentral:miRNA from 1 species